GGAUAACACUUGGAAACAGGUGCUAAUACCGUAUAACACUAUUUUCCGCAUGGAAGAAAGUUGAAAGGCGCUUUUGCGUCACUGAUGGAUGGACCCGCGGUGCAUUAGCUAGUUGGUGAGGUAACGGCUCACCAAGGCCACGAUGCAUAGCCGACCUGAGAGGGUGAUCGGCCACACUGGGACUGAGACACGGCCCAGACUCCUACGGGAGGCAGCAGUAGGGAAUCUUCGGCAAUGGACGAAAGUCUGACCGAGCAACGCCGCGUGAGUGAAGAAGGUUUUCGGAUCGUAAAACUCUGUUGUUAGAGAAGAACAAGGAUGAGAGUAGAACGUUCAUCCCUUGACGGUAUCUAACCAGAAAGCCACGGCUAACUACGUGCCAGCAGCCGCGGUAAUACGUAGGUGGCAAGCGUUGUCCGGAUUUAUUGGGCGUAAAGCGAGCGCAGGCGGUUUCUUAAGUCUGAUGUGAAAGCCCCCGGCUCAACCGGGGAGGGUCAUUGGAAACUGGGAGACUUGAGUGCAGAAGAGGAGAGUGGAAUUCCAUGUGUAGCGGUGAAAUGCGUAGAUAUAUGGAGGAACACCAGUGGCGAAGGCGGCUCUCUGGUCUGUAACUGACGCUGAGGCUCGAAAGCGUGGGGAGCGAACAGGACUAGAUACCCUGGUAGUCCACGCCGUAAACGAUGAGUGCUAAGUGUUGGAGGGUUUCCGCCCUUCAGUGCUGCA
rnacentral:rRNA from 1 species